AUGGCUGCUACUAAGGAGGCAGAUCACUGCAUCAAAUAUCUGGACUGUUCUGUGUUGCAAGGUCAGGUCAUAAUUGUUGAGAAGUACUCUACACAGAACAUUUUAUUGUUUUGUCUUCACCACCGAGAAUCCGAGAUCGCCUCCCAUAGCCUCCACAUCCACAAGGUCCUGCUUGACUGCGACGACGUCCAGGCUGAUGCCCUCAUCGUGGAUCGACUCGCCUCGCUCUAGAAGGAGUGGCCCCUCUGGAGUUGAAUAUGCAGUUAUAACCAAUUUUUACCCCUUUUAUCCUAGAAGAGUU